rnacentral:rRNA from 1 species
CAGCAGCCGCGGUAAUACAGAGGGUGCAAGCGUUAAUCGGAAUUACUGGGCGUAAAGCGCGCGUAGGUGGUUUGUUAAGUUGGAUGUGAAAUCCCCGGGCUCAACCUGGGAACUGCAUCCAAAACUGGCAAGCUAGAGUAUGGUAGAGGGUGGUGGAAUUUCCUGUGUAGCGGUGAAAUGCGUAGAUAUAGGAAGGAACACCAGUGGCGAAGGCGACCACCUGGACUGAUACUGACACUGAGGUGCGAAAGCGUGGGGAGCAAACAGGAUUAGAUACCCUGUAGUCCCUGUCUCUUAUACA